rnacentral:tRNA from 1 species
GGAACGCUAGUUCAAUUGGAUAGAACACUACUACACCAAAGUUAGAGGUUAAGGGUUCGAGUCCCUUGCGCUCUG